UAGGGAAUCUUCCGCAAUGGGCGAAAGCCUGACGGAGCAACGCCGCGUGAGUGAUGAAGGUCUUCGGAUCGUAAAACUCUGUUAUUAGGGAAGUACAAAUGUGUAAGUAACUAUGCACGUCUUGACGGUACCUAAUCAGAAAGCCACGGCUAACUACGUGCCAGCAGCCGCGGUAAUACGUAGGUGGCAAGCGUUAUCCGGAAUUAUUGGGCGUAAAGCGCGCGUAGGCGGUUUUUUAAGUCUGAUGUGAAAGCCCACGGCUCAACCGUGGAGGGUCAUUGGAAACUGGAAAACUUGAGUGCAGAAGAGGAAAGUGGAAUUCCAUGUGUAGCGGUGAAAUGCGCAGAGAUAUGGAGGAACACCGGUGGCGAAAGCGGCUCUCUGGUCUGUAACUGACGCUGAGGCUCGAAAGCGUGGGGAGCGAACAGG
rnacentral:rRNA from 1 species